rnacentral:lncRNA from 1 species
AAAAGGCAUGUGGCAUAUAAACAUGUACAAAGCUCAGGUCCUAAAUCUCAUAAUAAAAGCGUGCAAAAUAAACAAGCAUCAAUGAACAACAAUAGCAGGAUACAAUAAAUACAUUCCCAUGGGGGUGCAAGACAGUUCCAAGCACAUUAAUAAAGUAGUUUGUCAGUAUAGAGACAAAGGAAAUAUGCUAAACCUAUCUAGAGGCACUAGUUAUUAAAAAACUUCACCACAAAAAAGGGUAGUCGGAGCGUUCCGCCGUAUGACAUCGAAUCUUCCUUGGUCUUUCAGUUGCAUGUCAAUUCAUAAUCAACACCUACAAAGAAAGGUAGAGGUCAGUGGCAUAGGCAGUGAGUUGAUAUGUCCAAUAAAAAAUUAGGAGAAGGCCUUACUUUAUAGUAUAAGUCGGUGGGUCGACAUUGUGAAACUUCGGUCCUGUGGGGUCAAACCCCAACCACCUAAAGAGUGCUUGAUGUUAGAUGAAGAUAAAAGGAGGUAAAGAUUAAGGAGGGGAAGCAUCUCACCUGAGGUAAAGACGAUAGAUAGAGCUGAAAUGAGCAUCAAAACAAAAGGAAGGAUCUUAUGAAUCACCCACAGAAGGAAGAUGAUAAAGCGGCAGCACCAGGGUGGGGGAAACAUUCCUCAGAUGAGGCGGCUAAUAGUGAAGAAGAGUACAAUGCACUCUUGUCUAAAAGAGAGUGGCUUUUUAUAUCCAAAGUGGAAACGUUUCAUCUUCUAUGUUAUGGACCAAAUCUUUUUUAUGGAUCUUGGGUCAACAUUGUAAAUAUUGGGCCUAUUUGGUGAUUUUUUCCUAAAUAAUAGGGCAAAAUUCAGAAAUAGCAUACUUAUCCCUUUAAUUAUGAAUUUCAUAACAACAGUUUCAUAAUUACAUAAUAUAACAAGUUGUAUUUUAUAUUUUUGCAACCUAUUGCUACAAAAAUACAAAUAUAUAUGAUUUUUACUGCCCUUAUGAUCGAUAUGUAUUUUGUAUUUUUGCAAACUGUUGCUACAAAAAUACAAAUACAUACAAAUACAUAUGCUACAAAAUGUAAUUUGAUAAAAGUGUUGCUAUUUUUUAUAAUUUAAUACUUAAGUAUGCUACUUUAUGUAUUUUUUCCUAAAUAUAAAUAAUAAAAUGGUACAAGCUUUGACCGAAAAUUUUAAUUAAAAAAACAAUAUGCUGGAAAUUUGUUUAGCUAUUAAAAAAUGAUUUUUAUAUUGUUGGGAUUCAUUAUAAAAUGCUUAAAAAUGAUUUUUAAAUACUAAAAUUAUUAUUUAAAGGCUGAAAAGCGUCUUUUUAUUGCUGGAAAUCAAUAAAAAAAUAGACUGAAAACUAAAAUUUAGUUGCUGAAAAUUACAUUAGGAGUUCUGUAAAAUUAGUUUAGAGGCUGAAAAGUUAAUAAAAAAACAGAGAAAAUUAUAUGAGCAUGUUGUAAAACUAUAGGCUGAAAGUUAAACCAAAACCUAUAAAACAUGUUACCCGUAAUUAAACAUGUCGUGAACAGUUGAACUUAAUUUAAUAUGUCGAAAGUUAAUUAAAAUUCCUAAAAAUAGAAUUUCUAGUUGACAAAUUAAGUCUAUUAUUGAUCCUAGAUUAAAGAUUUGCCUAAGUGAUUCACAUAAACACAUAAUCUUGCACCCCAUAAGCAGUCCCCAUGAUUUAUUAUUAUAUAAGCAUUUAUACGGUAGUUCAUUACAAAAUUGAAUAAAUUAGAUAGACAUUAAAUAAAUAAAAGCUAAUUGAGAGGUUGUAUUGUCCCUUCACGUCCUAAUCAACUCUUCGGCGGUCCCAAAUCAAGCAAACCUUUUAAACACCUGUGAAGAGAACGAGAUAUUUCAAACACACAAACAUAAAUACACGAUACUUGGGAAGAACAAGAAUACACAUCUCAAAAACCAUUAACACAACAUUAGGCCCUAUGAGUAUAUUUUCUAAAGACUCCACAACAUCAUAAAAUUACUACAUAUGUAUGAAAAUUGCAUUGAUAGGGAACUUACCAAUAAGUGGCAGAAUUAUAAAACAAGAUAAGAACACCGUAUUUCUACAACAAGAAUUCGUAAUAAAAAAGAUAAUAGCAAAAGCUGUAUCAAGACCACAAAAACAAAGAAAUAUUCUUAUAGUGCAGAGAAAGAGUAAAUAGUGUAAAAAUAUAGGAAUCCAAGUCUAUCUAGAAUAAGAGAAGGAGGGUGAUUAUAUAGCAGAGCAUACUAUGAGAAAAU